UACGGGGGGUGCGAGCGUUGUCCGGAAUCACUGGGCGUAAAGGGCGCGUAGGUGGUUUGAUAAGGGUGUGGUGGAAAGUCCGGGGCUCAACCCCGGACUCGUGCCGUGCCGACUGUCAAACUCGAGGGCUGUAGAGGCAGACGGAAUUCCGGGUGUAGCGGUGGAAUGCGUAGAUAUCUGGAGGAACACCGGUGGCGAAGGCGGCAUCCUGGACCAACACUGACACUGAGGAGCGAAAGCCAGGGGAGCAAACGGG
rnacentral:rRNA from 1 species